rnacentral:rRNA from 1 species
AGAGUUUGAUCCUGGCUCAGGAUGAACGCUAGCGGGAGGCUUAACACAUGCAAGUCGAGGGGUAAUCCCGAUUUCGAUCGGGAACGACCGGCGCACGGGUGAGUAACGCGUAUGCAACCUACCUUUUACAGAGGAAUAGCCCAGAGAAAUUUGGAUUAAUACCUCAUAGUACUAUCAAUUCGCAUGUUUUGAUAGUUAAAGUUUCGGCGGUAAAAGAUGGGCAUGCGUGACAUUAGAUUGUUGGCGGGGUAACGGCCCACCAAGUCUACGAUGUCUAGGGGUUCUGAGAGGAUGAUCCCCCACACUGGUACUGAGACACGGACCAGACUCCUACGGGAGGCAGCAGUGAGGAAUAUUGGUCAAUGGGCGCAAGCCUGAACCAGCCAUCCCCCGUGAAGGAUGACGGUCCUAUGGAUUGUAAACUUCUUUUAUGUACCAAGAAUGUGCCCUACGUGUAGGGUUUUGACGGUAGUACAUGAAUAAGCAUCGGCUAACUCCGUGCCAGCAGCCGCGGUAAUACGGAGGAUGCGAGCGUUAUCCGGAUUCAUUGGGUUUAAAGGGUGCGUAGGCGGCUUAUUAAGUCAGUGGUGAAAUCCUGCGGCUCAACCGUAGAACUGCCAUUGAAACUGAUAAGCUUGAAUAUAGUUGAGGUAGGCGGAAUGAGUAGUGUAGCGGUGAAAUGCUUAGAGAUUACUCAGAACACCGAUUGCGAAGGCAGCUUACUAAACUAUUAUUGACGCUGAGGCACGAAAGCGUGGGGAGCGAACAGGAUUAGAUACCCUGGUAGUCCACGCCGUAAACGAUGUUCACUCGCUGCUUGCGAUACAUAGUAAGUGGCCAAGCGAAAGCAUAAAGUGAACCACCUGGGGAGUACGUCGGCAACGGUGAAACUCAAAGGAAUUGACGGGGGCCCGCACAAGCGGAGGAACAUGUGGUUUAAUUCGAUGAUACGCGAGGAACCUUACCUGGGCUUAAAUGUAGAUUGCAUGAUGUGGAAACACACCUUCCUUCGGGACUAUCUACAAGGUGCUGCAUGGUUGUCGUCAGCUCGUGCCGUGAGGUGUCGGGUUAAGUCCCAUAAUGAGCGCAACCCCUAUCGUUAGUUGCCAUCAGGUUAAGCUGGGGACUCUAACGAGACUGCCACCGUAAGGUGAGAGGAAGGUGGGGAUGACGUCAAAUCAGUACGGCCCUUAUGUCCAGGGCUACACACGUGUUACAAUGGCAGGUACAAAGGGCAGCUACACUGUGAAGUGAUGCUAAUCUCGAAAGCCUGUCUCAGUUCGGAUCGGAGUCUGCAACUCGACUCCGUGAAGUUGGAUUCGCUAGUAAUCGCGUAUCAGCAAUGACGCGGUGAAUACGUUCCCGGGCCUUGUACACACCGCCCGUCAAACCAUGGAAGCUGGGGGGACCUGAAGUCUGUCACCGUAAGGAGCGGCCUAGGGUAAAACCGGUAACUGGGGUUAAGUCGGAACAAGGUA